UUUCUCCUUAAUUUUUAUCAGAAGGCUAACAUUUUACUUUUUAAAAAAGUUUUCUUUCUGUAACACUUUAAAAAGCAAGCAUCAGUUUAUCAUAACUUGAUUUUUCACAAAUGCAUAAAUAUGGUAGCAAGUAACGUAAAGAGUUUUUGGGAUAAAGGUUGAGUCGACUGGGAAGAACUCAGGACGUGGGGUUUUGUUUAGCCAUCUAGAGUCUCCAUUCCUUGCAUAUAUGUCUAUAAUGAAGUUUUCCGAGUGUGACUUUUGGCUUUGUUUUGUUGUGGGUUUGUUUGUUUCUUCCACUGUGCUACUCUGGCUUAAGCUUUUUCAGGGCUUGGUGUUCCGAAUACACAGUGAGCUCACAGUUUAAAGACAUCAAUUAGGAGUUGACAGGUAUGGAAAACUAGAGGUGUGUAAAGGUAAAUUAGGUUUUAGGUUAUAUAUAUGGUUUUAAAAUACUCUGUAGUGCUUAUUUGGCCAUAGAGAAGUGCAAGGGGCUUGUGAAGCACAAUAGAAAGCACUCGUCGUUUUAGAGUUAAUGUAUACAGAAAUAAUAGCUGUAGCCUGCUACCCUAGUCCUACAGAGAGAGUGUGAAUGGUUAGCGUCUAAAGCAUACACAUUGUAGGUUUGCAUAUGUAAAGGAAUGCUUCUGAAGCACAACAUUGUUACCCAGAUUAGUUAGCCAGGUCAUCCAGCAGUGUUAGUGGCAGAGUAGAAGUAUAGUUGUACAACUUGAUAGUCUUUCAUUACUUAUCUCUUCCAUUUCUGUCUAUCCCUGUCUACUCAUUGUUUCCUCCUUUCCUGUCCUUUCUAAGGUUUUCACUCUGAAAGCCAGUCCUUGUAUUUUACAUUUGGGGCAGUAAUUUCCUUAUAAUAGAGGAUUUAAGAGACAAUAGCCAUUAGUCAGCACCUUUUUAUCUGCUAUCCUAUAAUGUUCUACACAAAGAGUGUACACAUUCAGAAACCACUAGUUAGUGAAUAAGCAACCCUAGCCCUUGGUGCUCUCUACACCCAAAUAGAGGCGUGUAAUUAUCAUUAGCCUAUUCUGUGCUUCAGCUGACACAUGAGAUAGGGGCAUCCUCUAGCAUCUUAAGGUAAUUAUCUGCUGAACUGAACUGAAAUUUACUCAUCCAGGAAUCCCAGCUGCACUCUGCAGGGAUGUGUGAUGUGUUCUGAGAAGGAGUCCUUCAGGAGACUCUUGUUCUCUGGAUGAGAAUGGCCACCAUUACAGUGUUUGCAUAGUAUUGGGUGUGCAGAGUUUAUUUAAACAACCUCCAUUCUGCUGCCCCAUUAAAUACUGCUGACUUGUAAGGAAUCUUGCUUUAGAUUUUAUUGUACUCAAAGUUACUAGGUGGACCUUAUAUAGUAUGUUUACCUGGCUGCUAUUUGGGGUUUGGGGAACAUGGGGGGUGGGGUGAACUGUUGUUGUUUUAGGUUUCAGUCAGACAGACAUCCCUGCGCCUCAGUUCCCAGAAGCACAGCAGGCCUCUAGGAGCAUCCGUGGGAAAGGCGCAGUCCUGGCAUCACCAACUUCUCCUGCUCAGGCUCAUCCCAUAUGCAGAGGUCAAAAGGGUGGGGCUUGAGAUGGGGGAAGGAACGAGAACAUAGAAGCUAUGGCAUUGCAGUGCUGCUGUUGACCAGCUUUUGGUGCUUCUGUCAGUGUGUGUUUGCUUGUUUUAAGUUGGCAAGUCUGUACAUACAUUUAUUUGGGAGGGUGGAAAAAUAAGCAUUAUUACUGCUAGUCAGUCUUGGGAAUAGCUCCUCAGUGUGUAAUGUCAGAUUUCAAAUGUAUACUCCAGUGACAAAGAAUGGGAAUUGAAGUGAGUAUUAGAUUUUUAAAGGCAGAAGACAGCAUCCUGUGUUAACUCUCAGCUCUCUUAGAACCACGUUUGUCAUUCUUUUCCCUACCCCGAGUUUUGCUGUGUUUGUAAAUAGUUUAAGGCAAAUACAUUCAUGGUCAGUCCUUUCUAAGGGACUUACUGAAUAUUAACUCUUUUGCAAAAAAAUACCCAAUGCUUAUCUGGGCAUACAAAUGCUACCCUAUUUUAAAUGUAGGUGGCGUAUGUGUUCGUGCUUUAAUGUAUUCAGAGCCAUUGGUCAAUAAGCAGUCCAGAACAUUGAAAUCUCAAGCAGCAGAGAGAUAAACUGGUAGGUGGCAGCAGAGAAAGGAAUUCUCCAGACUGAUGGCUGUUGACAUUAAACCUACAUAGGAGAAGAGAGCAUGUGACGGACCAAGUGGAGCGAGGGGCAGCAGAGAUGAGAGCCUCUGUACUGAAUGGUUCUCUCAAAGUAGCCAGUGAUCCUUCUGGAUGAAGACAGAUCUGCGUCACUUUUUAGAGUGGAAGAAGAAUGCAAAACAAGAAAGAAUUAGUUCUUUAUAUCUUAUUGCAUUCAGUGUGGGUUUUCUUUUUCUUUUUCUAAAUUAAAAAACACUGAAUGGAAAUGAA